AGGGAAGCGAGAUGGCAAAUUAACCAGCGAGGAGCUCGCGGCAAUAGAGAAACUGAAGCAGGGGAUAACAUCGAGAUCGGCCACUAAUAGAGGAAAAUGAAUCAUCAACAUCGGCGGAGUUAUUUGGUCAUGAAAAAAGCAAAGGAUGACAACAACAGGGGUGAGAUCGUUGAAUAAGGUGUUACUGUUAGUGGCAGUGGUGGAGGUGAAUGGAAAGAAAGAAAGAGAGCUGGGUGAGGGGCCUAGAGUUGUGAAUACAAGGAUGGGAGCCAAGUGGUACUAUGGACAAUGAAGGGAGAAGGGUGUUAGGAAUUUG
rnacentral:misc_RNA from 1 species